rnacentral:lncRNA from 1 species
CUUAGCUAACAAGGGGGCCUCAGAGAGAGGGAUUUGUUAGGGCUAGGAGAAGAAGGAAGGAUGCACCAAGGAAAUGAUAAAGGAUGAAGCAUUGCAGAAAAGCCAAUUGCUGUAUUAAUUCAUUUCAGUCAUGUGUUUGAGCUCUGAUUUUGUGUAUAGCCCUAUGCUGUGGGAAAUGCUAUGAAACAACAGCCACAGAGUCAACAGCGCUGAUUGGUAUGGCUCAGAUGACCAGUGCUGUUCAGAGGAUGGUGAGGGGUCACCAGGGAAGAAGCCAUGGAGGAGCUGAAGCUUGAGCAGGCCCUUGAUGGAAGGGGUUGGGGAAGAUGUCACUGCAGAGCGUGAGCUGGGGAAGAUGAAGAAAUCAGCUGACUGGAGUCUUCAGAAAUGGGGUGGAAUAGCGUGUGCCCUGUGUUGUUGACUACCCUUGUGUUGUGCUGAUAUUCCAUCACAGAGACCCAAUUUAUCUUCAGGCUGGAAAAAGAAAAGGAAGGCCUGAUGAAAACCGUGUAUUUGGCUUUGUUUACAUUAAUGAAGUGAUUGGACAGAAAAAGUCACAAUGACUUUUUUCUUUUGUGAAAAAAAUUAUUGGGAAUGGAAUUUUGAAGUCAGGGAGACUGAAAGAGGACUCACCUAUGUCUAUCUGGAAGAUGUAUCCAAAACACCCAGGAGUUUUGUGCGCAUGUGUAUGAAGGAAGUUCAGCUAGGAAAAGCUUGCAGCCUGGGCAAUACAGCAAGACCCCAAUUCUAAAAAAUUUUUUUUUUAAUUAGCUGGGUGUGAUGGUGUGGCACCUGUGGUCCUAGCUACUCAGGAGGCUGAGGUAGGAGGAUCACUUGAGACUGGGAGGUCAAGGCCGCAGGGAGAAAUAAUAGCAUCACUGUACUCUACCUCGACCCUGCCUCGAAAAAAAAAUAAGAAAAGAAAAAGGAAAAGGAAAAGAAAAAAGUUCAGAUACUUCAAAAUGUGGAUUUGCCAUAAAAACCUUUUCUUGAAGCAUUCUUGAAAUUUCUUACCAGAUGUCAAACAGAAAAAGCCUCACAUUACUGGAGAAACUUUAUCUAAAGCCACAUACACUGGGAAUAUGGAGAUUUGUGAAUAGAAAGAGGUAAAAGCUGGAAGUGAUUCCUUAGUCAGAUGAGGUGCUUCCAUGAAGAAGAGUAGGCAUGUCUUGAAGCAAGUUAUGGAGGAAUUGGCCACCUCGCCAUUCCUCCCACGUCACUCUGUGAAACUCCAGGUAUCCUUCCAGGUAGUCACCUGCCUGUUUUGUUCAUGAUGUGCCUGCUGACUUCAACAAAGAAAGAUUUUUUUUUGUGAGUGCCUUUGGAAACUACAAAGCUGCUGAUGUUUUGCAGAUGGUAUAAAGGUUUUUUGUUUUGUUUUGCUUGUGUCAAACAAAAGUGACUCGACAGAAAAGGUUCAUUUCCUUGCACAGACAGUGCUGUUGCAAUGCGUGGCUAUGCAUCUGACUUUGCUACUUGAGUAAAAGGGAGCACCUAUGUUGUUCUCACUCACCGCAUUUCACACAAACGUAUUCUGGCUCUUCAAAAACCCCAAGAGAAGUUUUGUCAACAGCCAUAAAAGUCAUCAACUUUUAUCUAGUCUCUGAAUCACAGCAUUUUUGCAGGUUUUGUCAAGAAAUGAUGGCAGAAAAUGAAGUGCUUCUCUACCACAGAGAAGCUUACUGUCUUUCAAGGGGAAAGAUUCACUGUUUUCUAAAAGAAAAAGAAAAUCCUCUCCUGGAACAUGUAGCAAGAAAAAAUGUUGUCUGAGGGUUGGCUGACCCAGCGGAUAUUUUUAACCAUCUGAACGAGAUGAACCUUCCAGUUCGAGGCCCUGAUACCACCAUUAUGAAUGAUCCUGAAAACUUUACCAGCUUUUUUGGCUCAGCUGCCAAUAUGAAAGGAGAGUUCAGGCUGACAUCUUUGCCAACUUUUGCGAUGCUGGAGGAAGUGCUUUAUCUCAAUGAAGUUGACAUACAAAAUACUGUCAGUUUAUCUGAAAAGAGAAAUCUACAAACACCUGGAAACACUGUAGAACUCCUUUAAAAAUUAUUUCUAUCUUGAUGGUAUCAAAGUUGGACCAUAGAAUUGCAUUCUUUUUCUUGUUGAUAUAAACUGUCUCAAAGGUGUUUGCCUAGCCAAAGAUGGCGAACAUUGAUCUUGGGAUGGAAAACAGCUACAACUAGAGUUUAGCUAAAAAGUCUUGGAGAGUUUUGGUGCUCCUUGACAGAAACAUCUGUCUACUUUGCAAAGGAGCCGUAAAAGCUUUAAUUCCAUUUUCAACAAUAUAUCUUUGAGGAUUGGAGUUUUAAUGUUGUUACUAGAAAAAAUCAAAAUCAAUUGGAUGUCCAGCAUGACAAGUGUAUUAUCUCAUCAAAGACAUCCCGCUGUCUCAUAUUCUUAUUCAAACUAGGCAAAGCAGCCUUUAUAUGGGUAUGUCUUUUAAAAAACAAAAUUUAACUUCAAUUUGCCUGUAUUUCAAGUGCAAUGUCUUAUUUUUUUAAAUGUGGUUCAAAGAAGCAAAUCUGUUACUAUGUAAUAUAUAUUUUAAACAUACUAUUUUGGUAAUUGUACUUCAGUAUACACGCUUGGUUUUCCUUGUAAUCCUACGCCUUUAUUUUAUGCAUCAAAAAACAUUAUUUUAAGAAAGGUCUGUAGGCUUCACCAGAUUGCCCAAGGAAUCCACUAUGUAAAAACAGUAAAGAACUGAUGGCCCCGCACAGUUGCUCAGG